rnacentral:lncRNA from 1 species
CGAGGUGGCUCUGCGAGGUUUGGCUGGAGCUGGGCAGCGAGGCCUGCCCGCGGGUGGGAGAGCCGCCGACCCGCCAUGUUUGCUUCUCCCGCGCGCAGCCUCAUGGGCCUGCGGUGAGAUUUAUGGGAAACAGACACAGCAGCAGAAAACCACGGGAGGGCCACCUCCCGGUCCCGUCAUCAUUGGAAAGCCUCCUGUGCUGCAACUGCCAUCCUUCCAGCAGUUAGAAACCCCGGAAGUGAACGUGGAUGAUGAUGAGGGUGAAGAGAAGGGGUGGCUGCACGGCGAGAUCUCUCAUCCGUCAGAAACUGGGUCUUCUCCAAGCUCUGAAAGACUCUCUUGGAGAUGCAUGUUGCACUAAGGAGCAAAGUGACAACAUCCAAAAUGUGCUUUCCUCAGUUCAGCAGAGAAGUUGUACACACAUCAGUUCAACAUGGCAAGAACGCUCACCAAUGAUUAUCUGCACCCGUGUGCUCCUCACAGCAUUCUUCAACCUUCCUGCUGCGCUUGAGCCUUUUCC